AUGCUUCUCCUAAAGACUAANCCAUGCAUGCCUUUCGAAUAAGAGGAAGCAAUUCUCUCUGAAUCUGCGAACGGCUCCGCAAACCAGUUGUAAACCAUGGCAAGCAAGCCCGGGUUCGGUCUUCACGGGUCGGGCUCGGGCGAAACGGAUAACCCUGGUAAUUCUGAGGCUAAUACGAGAACGCAAUCCCUGGUCGACCGGGCAACUGGAAGGCUGGGGAACGUGUGAAUCAAGCGCGAGGAUGAUACCGGGAAAGGGCACACGUUCGGACCGCGACAAAAAAAGGAUCGGGUUCCCUGACCUCACGGAAGGGGGGCUCGGCCCUAGCGGCUCUUGCAAUGUGCUUCUGACCUAUCAACUAGACGGCAGCGUAAGGGACAUGCCAUGGUAACAACGGGUACAGAGGAUUAGGGUUCGAUCCUGGAGAGUGGGCCUGAGAGAUUGCUCAUACUUCUAAGGAAGGCAGCAGGCGCGCAACGUUCCCCUUGGGCAAUGCUCGAGGGCGUUAGGGGACAUAUGAAUGCCUGCCCAAUGGGUGGGCAAUUCAAAUGGGUUCGUUCUAAACAGCCCU
rnacentral:rRNA from 1 species